rnacentral:piRNA from 1 species
AAGUGGUGAAAUAGACAAGGCCUGGUG